AUCCACUCUGAAACUGGCAUCAGGAGCAAGCUGAGCCUUCUCUGGACUUUCAGCACCUGCUGCUGAAGGUUCCCCGGGGCUGGUCAGAGACGAGGAUCUCAUGGGGCUGUCCCUUGGCUGGGGGGCCUCCACCCCGGCACCACUCUCAACACAGGUCUUACCUCCUGAGAGCCACACCUGCCACAGCCCAAACCUUCCUGCAGCCAGAAGGGACCAGGGGGUGUUUGGAAGAAAAUUUGUGUCACUUCCUCCUUUCCUUGUCUAAGUGAUGAUUUUGUGUGUCACCUUUUGUGUCUAGCUAUGAUCCUGGCAGGAAAAGCCUACUACGAUGGAGUGGCCAAGAUCGGUGAGAUUGCCACUGGGUCCCCCGUGUCGACCGAACUGGGACAUGUCCUCAUAGAGAUUUCAAGUACCCACAAGAAACUCAACGAGAGUCUUGAUGAAAAUUUUAAAAAAUUCCACAAAGAGAUUAUCCAUGAGCUGGAGAAGAAGAUAGAACUUGACGUGAAAUAUAUGAAUGCAACUCUAAAAAGAUACCAAACAGAACACAAGAAUAAAUUAGAGUCUUUGGAGAAAUCCCAAGCUGAGUUGAAGAAGAUCAGAAGGAAAAGCCAAGGAAGCCGAAACGCACUCAAAUAU
rnacentral:sRNA from 1 species